rnacentral:tRNA from 1 species
AAGUUUAGGUUAGACAAACCAGGGGCCUUCAAAGCCCCAAACAUGAGCAACACCUCAUAACUACU